rnacentral:lncRNA from 1 species
GGGAGAGUUGGAAAGCAACAUGUACUGUAUAAAUGGAGAUUUUGAACCCUAGACUUCAAUUCCCAGAAGUCCUUGGUAUUUCCCAGAAUUCCCUAUAAUCUCUCCUGAGUCUCCAUGUUGGUGAGAUCACAAUUGGUGAUCUGGCAGUAGAGUCUCCCAGGCUCUCUUCCUUCCUUUGCAAUGAUGUAGCAAGUAUAGUGUUCAAGAAAGACCCUGAAGCAGGCUACGGGAGGGGGCAACUCUCUUUCCUUCCAACUAGAGGUGGGGAACAAAUGCAGUUUCUGAGAAAAUGAGAAGUGUUGAUUACCAUUGAGAAGACUCCAAGGUUUCAAGGUCUCGAAACUCUUCCUAGCACUCUGCUGAAGCUAAACAGUUGUAAUAAGUAGACAUAUAGUAUAGUAUAUAGUAACAUAGACUAUUAAUUACUAUUGUAUAGUAAUAUAGACCUAAUAUAUGUAGUAUGAUAUAAUAUAGUAUUUUAAAGUAGCUAGUUAUCUUGGGAAUGUUUUGAUUUAUUUUUCCUUUCUCGUCCCAGAGUUUAUGCUAGGGAACUCACAAUCCAAAGUAACAUUUUGUUUAAACCCUUACCAUAUUAAGUAUUGGCUCCAAGACAGAAGAGUGAUCUAGGCAAUAGAGGUUAAAUGACUUGCCCAGGGCCACAUAGCAAGGUAACACCUUUUGAAGAUUCCUAGAGAGGGAGCAGCUAGGGAUGGGAGGUUCUAAAUUCCAACAGAUUUGUCUGCUAGGGAUGAUACUUCCUCACCUCAGACCCUUCCUAGCUGUGUGAUGCUGGAGAAAUGACUUAAC